rnacentral:tRNA from 1 species
GCGCCCAUAGCUCAGUGGAUUAGAGCGUCUGCCUCCGGAGCAGAAGGUCGUGGGUUCGAACCCCCCUGGGCGCACCA